rnacentral:tRNA from 2 species
GCCAAUUUAGCUCAGUCGGUAGAGCAAUUCACUCGUAAUGAAUAGGUCAUCGGUUCGAUUCCGAUAAUUGGCUCCA